GGUAGUAUGGCUGAGUAAGCGGUAAACUGUAAAUUUACACACAGGUGAUCCUUGCUACCA
rnacentral:tRNA from 1 species